rnacentral:rRNA from 1 species
CCUACGGGAGGCAGCAGUAAGGAAUAUUGGUCAAUGGUGGCAACACUGAACCAGCCAUGCCGCGUGCAGGAUGAAGGUUCUAUGAAUUGUAAACUGCUUUUAUACGGGAAAAAACUUUCGAACGUGUUCGGAACUGAUGGUACCGUAAGAAUAAGGAUCGGCUAACUUCGUGCCAGCAGCCGCGGUAAGACGAAGGAUCCAAGCGUUAUCCGGAUUUAUUGGGUUUAAAGGGUGCGUAGGUGGACUUGUAAGUCAGUGGCGAAAGCCCGAUGCUUAACAUCGGAACUGCCAUUGAUACUGCAAGUCUUGAAUAUGUUUGAAGUGGGCGGAAUGUGUCGUGUAGCGGUGAAAUGCUUAGAUAUGACACAGAACACCGAUUGCGAAGGCAGCUCACUAAACCAUUAUUGACACUGAGGCACGAAAGCGUGGGGAGCAAACAGGAUUAGAUACCCUGGUAGUCCACGCCCUAAACGUUGAAUACUCGAUAUGUGNGAUACACUAGUACGUGCCGAACGAAGAAAGUAACGUUAAGUUAAUUACCUACCUACGGGAGGUACGGACGUCGCGAGAAGUAGAAACGUAACGAAAGAAAGUUAAGUACGGACGUGAGACGAGCGACGACGACGACGAGGGAGGAGG